rnacentral:rRNA from 1 species
AUUGAACGCUGGCGGCAGGCUUAACACAUGCAAGUCGAGCGGAGAUGAGGUGCUUGCACCUUAUCUUAGCGGCGGACGGGUGAGUAAUGCUUAGGAAUCUGCCUAUUAGUGGGGGACAACAUUCCGAAAGGAAUGCUAAUACCGCGUACGCCCUACGGGGGGAAGCAGGGGAUCUUCGGACCUUGCGCUAAUAGAUGAGCCUAAGUCGGAUUAGCUAGUUGGUGGGGUAAAGGCCUACCAAGGCGACGAUCUGUAGCGGGUCUGAGAGGAUGAUCCGCCACACUGGGACUGAGACACGGCCCAGACUCCUACGGGAGGCAGCAGUGGGGAAUAUUGGACAAUGGGCGGAAGCCUGAUCCAGCCAUGCCGCGUGUGUGAAGAAGGCCUUUUGGUUGUAAAGCACUUUAAGCGAGGAGGAGGCUACCUGGAUUAAUACUCUAGGAUAGUGGACGUUACUCGCAGAAUAAGCACCGGCUAACUCUGUGCCAGCCGCCGCGGUAAGAC